AUUUUUUAUUUUUUUAUGAUUUAUUUGUGGAAGAGUGGUGAGGGUCGGUAAGAGUUUGCCAUUAUAAAUGCUUGUGCCAUUUUGGAAUGUCAGCAAGAGAAAAAAUGGGUAAAUCACAUGUGAGAAGGUCUAUUUUCCCCAAACCCAGGAAAGAUUGAAAUAAAAUCUCAAAAUUCCUUCAGAUCUGGUUAUAUAUUUUAGGAGUUCGCGGACUCGUCCUUUAUUACAUUUUUUGGUGAAUUUUGGUUUGUAUUGUUUUCUUUUACUAAUUACUCACACUACAGCUUGUGCUGAUAGGACUCAACUUUUUGGGUCCAAGAUCUCUUAGGCCAGUUGCGAUACUGAAGAUUAGGAAUUUCUGGUUGUUCUAUGUCAUGGCUGAGCUUUAGGGAAGUAUAAUGAUUUAAGUAUGAGAUACUCUUUUGGGGUUCACAAAUCAGAUUUGGAGCAUCCAGAUGCCGAUUCGAGGGGCAAAGCAUCGCGGGCUAGAGUUUGGACCGGAUAGAGAUUUGGAGCAUCCGGAGGAUAAUUCGAGAGGCAGAGGAAUCGCGGGCUAGAGUUUGGACCGGAUAGAGAUUCAGGAGCGUCAGGUCCCGCUAGCUAGGGCUGAUUGCUUUCAGCAAGCUGUUCGAAGUUCACUAGGUAGCUGCUCGGCGUUCUCGCCACAGUGAU